CUCUCGGUGGCCAAGUUGGUUUAAGGCGCAAGACUGUAAUAAUCUUGAUAUCGGGCGUUCGAAUCGCCCCCGGGAGA